rnacentral:rRNA from 1 species
AUUGAACGCUGGCGGCAUGCUUUACACAUGCAAGUCGAACGGCAGCGCGGGCUUCGGCCUGGAGGCGAGUGGCGAACGGGUGAGUAAUGCAUCGGAACGUGCCCAGUAGUGGGGGAUAGCCCGGCGAAAGCCGGAUUAAUACCGCAUACGACCUGAGGGUGAAAGCGGGGGACCGAAAGGCCUCGCGCUAUUGGAGCGGCCGAUGUCGGAUUAGCUAGUUGGUGGGGUAAAGGCUUACCAAGGCGACGAUCCGUAGCUGGUCUGAGAGGACGACCAGCCACACUGGGACUGAGACACGGCCCAGACUCCUACGGGAGGCAGCAGUGGGGAAUUUUGGACAAUGGGGGCAACCCUGAUCCAGCCAUGCCGCGUGCGGGAAGAAGGCCUUCGGGUUGUAAACCGCUUUUGUUCGGGAAGAAAUCCUCUGGGCUAAUACCCCGGGGGGAUGACGGUACCGGAAGAAUAAGCACCGGCUAACUACGUG